ACCAACCACAUAUGUUUGUUGAUUGUUCACCCGAAGUCUUCCCUCCCUCUUAAACUACUAUAUAUAGCUGGUUUUACCUUCACCAUAUCUUCUCCAAACCAUUGUAGUGACUCCCUAAAUUUUUCUAAUUUUCUUUAUCUUUCUCCAGGUGGGGAGGUUUUCAGAUAUUAAAAAAGGAGAGAGACAAAGAUGAGCAGAAGAGGAAGUAGUAGUCCAAAGCUUGAAUUGAAGCUAAAUCUGUCUCCUCCAAGUGCUAACUCAUCACCAAUUGACACCUCAAAUGCCUCCGAGUCAUCCUCGGACAUGUUAAUCGACCGCAGCUCAUACGUGUCGUCAGAACCAGACGAUGAGACGAUGCAUUGCCUGAGCAGGCCCGAAGCCAAGGCGAGGGUGCUUGCAGGGUGUCCUCGGUGCCUCAUGUAUGUCAUGCUAUCUGAAUUGGAUCCAAACUGCCCAAAAUGCAAAAGCUCUGUCUUGCUCGAUUUCCUUAACGAAGAAAGCACCAAGAGGAAAGGAAUGUGAUCAGGAACAUAUAUGGCCUACUGAGGCUUUGGGUACCUGCAUACUGAGGCUUUGGGUUUUCGGGAUAUGCCUUUUUCUUCUUCCUUAGAAACAAUUUUAUGUUGUUUUUGCCCCGUUGAGUUGAUUGCCUUUAGCUUCGAGUAGCUUGUAGAGUUGUUAGGUUGUUUAUUGUAAGAUUGUGGAAAUUUCAUUUUCUAGCUACGUACUUUUCCUCUUCUAUGUGCAUGGAUCCUAAUUUAAUAGAGAAAAUUGUAGCAAUA